GACGAACGCUGGCGGCGUGCUUAACACAUGCAAGUCGAACGGAAAGGCCCUGCCUUUGUGGGGUGCUCGAGUGGCGAACGGGUGAGUAACACGUGAGUAACCUGCCCUUGACUUUGGGAUAACUUCAGGAAACUGGGGCUAAUACCGGAUAGGAGCUCCUGCUGCAUGGUGGGGGUUGGAAAGUUUCGGCGGUUGGGGAUGGGCUCGCGGCUUAUCAGCUUGUUGGUGGGGUAGUGGCUUACCAAGGCUUUGACGGGUAGCCGGCCUGAGAGGGUGACCGGCCACAUUGGGACUGAGAUACGGCCCAGACUCCUACGGGAGGCAGCAGUGGGGAAUAUUGCACAAUGGGCGGAAGCCUGAUGCAGCAACGCCGCGUGCGGGAUGACGGCCUUCGGGUUGUAAACCGCUUUCGCCUGUGACGAAGCGUGAGUGACGGUAAUGGGUAAAGAAGCACCGGCUAACUACGUG
rnacentral:rRNA from 1 species